rnacentral:rRNA from 1 species
GUGAGGAAUUUUGCGCAAUAGGGGAAACCCUGACGCAGCAACGCCGCGUGAGUGAAGAAGGCCUUCGGGUCGUAAAGCUCUGUCAAGUGGGACAAAAUUCUGUGGGUGAAUAGCCCGCAGGAGUGAUGGUACUGCUAGAGGAAGCACCGGCUAACUCCGUGCCAGCAGCCGCGGUAAUACGGAGGGUGCAAGCGUUGUUCGGAAUUACUGGGCGUAAAGCGCGUGCAGGCGGUUCGGUAAGUCAGAUGUGAAAGCCCUGGGCUCAACCCAGGAAGUGCAUUUGAAACUGCCGUGCUAGAGUAUGGGAGAGGAGAGUGGAAUUCCCAGUGUAGAGGUGAAAUUCGUAGAUAUUGGGAGGAACACCCGUGGCGAAGGCGACUCUCUGGACCAAUACUGACGCUGAGACGCGAAAGCGUGGGGAGCAAACAGGAUUAGAUACCCGUGUAGUCC